AUUGAACGCUGGCGGCAUGCUUUACACAUGCAAGUCGGACGAGUGGCGAACGGGUGAGUAACGCAUCGGAACGUACCGAGUACUGGGGGAUAACUGUCCGAACGGACAGCUAAUACCGCAUAUUAUUCGAGCGGCCGAUGUCUGAUUAGCUGGUUGGCGGGGUAAAGGCCCACCAAGGCGACGACCAGUAGCGGGUCUGAGAGGAUGAUGCUGCACACUGGGAGUGAGACCCGGCCCAGACUCCUACGCGAGGCAGCAGUGGGGAAUUGUGGACAAUGGGCGCAAGCCUGAUCGAUCCAUCCCGCGUGUCGGAAGAAGGCCUUCGGGUCGAAAUGCACUUUUGUCAGGGAAGCGGUACCUGAAGAAUAAGCACCGGCUACAGACGUGCUAGCCGCCGCGGUAAUUC
rnacentral:rRNA from 1 species